rnacentral:ncRNA from 1 species
CCCUGUUGAGCUUGACUCUAGUCUGACUCUGUGAAGAGACAUGAGAGGUGUAGCAUAAGUGGGGGGCCGUGAACCCUCAUGGUUGUGUCGUGCCGACAGUGAAAUACCACUACUUUCAUCGUUUCUUUACUUGCUCCGUGAAGCGAUAUAUUUUGUGUUUCGUACUUUGUAUUUCUACAAAAAAGAAACUUUUUAGCGGCUCUGACCAGUAGCAAGCCCAGCACCAAAGACGUUACAUAUCGCGCGCUUUUGGCACCGCGGGUCGCCCCCGUAGGUGGAGGAGGUUUCCGCGUCGUCCGGUUAAAAUAUGACACGCUGAUAUUUAGUUACUCUCUCCGUGCCCGCUGGCUUGCCCUACCCCGAGAAACGUGGAAACCGGAAAAAAGAAAUAGACGCUGAAAUAUGAUUGCAGGGCCCCUUUAAGCGCCUAACAGAUUCUCUUAGCGUUAUUUCUCCAACGAAAAAUUACAACGCCUUUAGACCAGACAAAUUGCAUUUCAAAAAAAUAAUUUGUCGGAUUAUAUCAUUUUAAAGCAUUAUUUCCAUAUUUGCCUUUGGAAGGCGAGUAAGUUUUUACAUUGUCACAGCAGCCGACACCUGUGUAGUGAAGGCCCGGUUUGCGCUUAAAACGUCAUGUGUUUUCUUUUGUGUGUGUGUGUGGGGGGGGGGGGGGGGGAGGAGAAUUGAGCUAUUAACAGCAAAGUUCCCGUUCCAAACAUUUACUGAAAUUAUAAACAUUUGUAUAGAGAAAUAGCGCUAAUGUUAUUCCUAGCUCA